AAAGUCUGUACACAGUCAAUGUCUGUAACACUGAGAUUACUACUGUUUAGAGCCAAAAUUUUGUUCAAUUUUGAAUAUUUUCUGAUAUCUCUGUGGUUACUCAGAGUUGGUGCUAUCCCCAUUCAGAGCUAGAGAUGAUCAAUAGUGUCCUUCAGUCCGAGAGCUGGGUUGCUUGGGAAUGAUACCCUUAGUGGGUGGUAAACUCCACCCAAGGCUAAGUAAGAUGACAAGUCCAAGAGCUGAUAAGUACCAGAAGGGAAAGAUAAAAAAAAACUCUGGAGUGAGAGUUCAAGAGACCAUGAAAAUGAAACUAGUCUUGAUACCAUCAUUUUCCUCUUCUCUACAUUUGCAAGGUCUCUCUUAGAAUAUUGCUACCCAGUAUAAGGAUUGAAGCACCCCAGAGAUCAACCAUAGACAAAAACAGCCAAAUAGCAUGACAGACCUUGACUAUGGGAUAACCUCAAAACUUCAAAUUUUAUUCUCUCCAAUACUGCCAUGAACACUGCAUUAUUUGUAGAAUGGAGAAAAUAUUCCAUCAAUACUGUCUAAACAAUGCUGGUAUCGAGUUCACCUUUCAGCUG
rfam:Octopus bimaculoides Scaffold11253_contig_28, whole genome shotgun sequence.